UGAACAGAGCUUGUUGUUAGUGGACACUAGUUAUAUCUAGCUAGGCUAUUAAAUCCUUACCUACUUCCAUGUAAUAAGAUAAAUGAAUAAUAAGGUUGCAGGAUGUAGAGUUUUUAAAUAACCCACUAAACUUGAAAAAGAUAAGGAAUAGCAGGUCUUAGGAAUAUAGUGCCAGCACUAGCGGUUAUACUUUAGGACCAAGUCUAGAUUUAUCAUACUUCUCAUAAAAAUGGUUCAAUUUACCAAUAAAAUAGGUGUUUUUUAAGUAAAAUCAAAGAAUUAUUCAAAACUUUGAGAGUUUUUAACAUGUGAGAAGCUUUUACCAGAGGAAUAGGAUUAGAUACCCUACUACUCCAGGUGAUAAGAAGGAAUACGGGGUUUGCCCCAGAAAAUAAAAUAACAUGGCAGCUGAUCAACCUUUUAGAGACGUAUGUGCCUUAAAUAGAUGGUACGCUAAUAUCUUACCUUUAAACAAUUUCAAUCACUUCAAACACCACCGUCUGAAGAAACCCAUUUUGUGUGGGUUGGGUCUUUUACUGGAGCACUCAUAUGUUUAUCAGUCAUAAGACAGGUAAGGUUUGGGACUUAAAGGGGAGCAUGUAUGUCAAUCUUUGGUGAUGAAAGAAGAGUCUUGGAACAUAAUUCCAAAAGAGAAUUUAAAAGUAAUCGUUGCUAAUUAUAUAACGGUGAAUAGAUGAAAUGAUUGGUGCUCAUAUCGCCCGUCAACCACGUCGAGAGAUGUGGUAAGUCGUAACAAAGUUGAUCUAC
rnacentral:rRNA from 1 species